ensembl:lncRNA
UUUCUACUGCUCAGCUAAUUUUGUGCCUAGCAUUUAUAAACUUUUCUCUCUUUCUCUCUGUCUCUCUCUCUCUGUCUCUCUGUCUCUCUCUCUCUCUCUCUCUCUCUCUCUCUCUCUCUCUCUAUCUCUCUCUCUCUAUCUCUCUCUCCCCCUUAUUUUUUUCACUCACUGAGCAAUGAAAACCUGCCUAAUCCAAGAUUUGGAAAGUCACAGAUAAAUUGGUUUGCACCCAUGGAUCUAAUUGUAAAUAGUUUGUAAAUAGAUGACUUUAGUUUAGCAAAAGAGAAUGUUUUCCUGGAAAACAUUCAGAAUGAUGGGGCUGAAUCUCCUGGUUUUUAUCCUGUAAUUUCUUCAUUGAUAAUUAUCGUGACCCAAUUAAUGACAUGAGUAGCAUUUUAGUUUUUACUUGCAAAUAGCCUUGUAAAUGGAGCAUCUAACCAUCCAUAGUCUUUGAACUCCCCGGAAAGCAGGUAUACUGUUUCAUCUUUUAUGUAUAUCAAGAUUCCUGCCUGUGAAAUAUACAUGUAUCCUAUUUUGUUCUUUCAACAAAAUGUUUAUUAUGGCUUUCUACAGUUAUAGUGAAACUAUGUGAAUAGUGUGUCUACCCAGUCUGUGUGGCUUUCUCGGGGUAUUUCUGGGUCUGUCUGUGUUUCUCUGUUAUGUCAUGAAACAGGAGAGUUUCGUGACUGCAGUACUGAAACGCUGCUAUCUAAGUUCCUUUACAUGUUCCUCAGAAUAGUGUAAUAAGAUAAUUUUCUUUUGUUUUUGUACUUAGAAAUUUUAUUUCUGCAUUGACAUGAGUGAAGUUUACACUACUUUCGUAAUAUUUACAGGUAGCUAUAAAGUCUCUCUCUCUCUCUCUCUCUCUCUCUCUCUCUCUCUCUCCACUCAACAAGCAACUAAAAGCUGCCUACUCCAAGAUUUGGAAAGGCAGAGCUGAAUCUGUUUGCUCCCACGUAUCAAAGUGUAAAUAGUUUGUAAUUAGAUGACUUUAGUUAUGCAAAUAGAAUGUUUUCAUGGAAAACAUUCAGAAUGACGGGGCUGAAUCUCCUGGAUUAUAUCCUGUAGUUUCUUCAUUGAUAAUUAUCCUGAGCCUAGUAAUGGCAUGAGUAGCAUUUUGGGAAUUAUUUGUAAAUAGCCUUGUAAAUAUAGUAUCUAAACAUCCAUAGUCUUUGCAUUCCCCUAGAAAGCAGAUAUGCUGUUUCCUCUUUUAUAAAUGUAAACAUUUCAAUCUUUGACAUAUACAUCUAUCCUAUACUGUUCUUUCAACAAAAUGUUUAUUAUGACUUUCUAUGGUUUAUUGAAACUAUAUAAAUUGUGUGUCUACCCAGUAUGUGUUGGUAUCUCGGGGUAACUCUGGGUCUGUGUGUGUUUCUCUGUUAUGUCAUGAAACAGGAGAGUUUCAUGACUGCAGUACUGAAACGCUGCUAUAUAUGUCCCAUUGCCUUUUCCUCAGAAUACUGUAGUAAGAUUUUUUUUUGUUUCUGUAUUUAGAAAAUUCAUUUCUGCGUUCAAAGGAGUGAUGUUUCUACUAAUCUCGUAAUUUUGUCUUAGUAGUUAUAAAGUCUCUGUUUCUUCACUGACUGAGCAAGUAAAAGCUGCCUAUUCCAAGUUUUGGAAAGGCACAGAAGAAUCGGUUCGCACCCACGUAUCAAACUGUAAAUAGUUUGUAAUUAGAUGACUUUAGUUAAGCCAAAGAGAAUUUUUUCUUGGAAAACAAUCAGAAUGACGGGGUGGAAUCUCCUGGAUUAUAUCCCGUAAUUUCUUCAUUGAUAAUUAUCCUGACCCAAAUAAUGGCCUGAGUAGCAUUUUAGGAAUGACUUGUAAAUAGAUCCUCUUAUCGUCCAUAGCCUUUGUAGACCUCUAGAAAGCAGGCAUACUAUUUCAUCUUUUAUAAAUGUAAAUAUUCCCUUCUGUGACAUAUUCAUGUAACCUAUGUUGGUCUUUCAAAAAUAUUUAUUAUGGCCUUCUUUGAUUAUAGUGUAACUAUAUACAUAGAGUGGCAAACCAGUCCUUUUGCCACAAAAGAGGAGAUUUACAGAUAGAUCGAGGUAGCUGAGCAUGCUGAGUAAGCUCCAUCCUGUCCCCUGUACCUGUAGCUUUUAGUGAAAUCCUCAUUGGUAGCUGUUUUACAGUUUUUUCUUCUUUGGUUCUUGUACUUGUUGUUUUAUUUUUAACAGAUUUUUUUCCUUAUUACUUACAAAAGCUUCCAGUGAUAGCUAUAUUUUUCUUCUCUUUUUCAUACUUUUCCUUAAUAAAAUCCUUAUAGACACGUUAACAUGAUUUGAUAGGAAUUGGUUAUGUAUAGCUAUAAUCAUCUUGUGAAGUCAACAGAUCACAUUAGAGAUUAAGAUGGUCAUUAAAGAAUCUGGUUAUGGAGUUUGCCUUUCACAGGGCAGAACUUGCUAUUUGGAGGAGAAUCCUCUCUUCCCUUGACUGCUUGACAGCAUGCUGUCCAAACUAGACAAACAGGUUCCAAAGAAGAGGGACUGCUGAAGAAGCCAAGGGAAAGGAUGAUCCUUCAUAUGUUUUCUUCAUCCAAAUUUCUGCCACACAUUCUGGGCAUACAGGCUAAGAGGGAUGCGGCAAGAGUGCCGAAAAAACGUUGGGUGACUCUCUCAUGGAAGAGAGAUGUCUCUGCUAAUGUAUUGUUUUCUAUAGAAUCCUUCUGCAGUCUUUGUUGCUAUUGAAGACUGAUAAUUACCAUUAUGGGUUUUCUUAAUUAUAAUAAAAGAUAAGUUGCAUUUGAAGGUUUAACCUCACCAAGCAAGGAUAGAUCAGGGACCAUUUUCUUCAAAUUUGUCAAAUGUUAACGGACUCCAUAUUGGUAUCCCUCAUUUUUGCUUAUCAACUUUGAAAUUCAUAAUUGGACAAUGUUAAAUGUUUAAAAAGAAAUCCUUCUUUCCUCCAGUAGAGAACAGAACCUGAUGCAACUAACUUUCUGUAUGCUGCGCAUAUAUGUUUCUCUUCUUGGUUUAUGAAUGAAGCUAUUUUGGCACAUGGUCAGGCAAUAUGUAGCCAGUGAGGACAUAUAGGGAAUGCAGCCAGAGUUGAAUUCGGGGAGAGGUAUAGGGAGAGUGAGUCUCCAGAGAGUCACUAUGUAACUUCCGGGGAGUUAGGUUGCUCAGGUUUCCUCUGGUAUGCUAAAACACUUGGAGAUUCACUGAGGAAAAGAAAUGGGUUAGGAUUUAGAGAGAGAGAGCCGAUAUGAAGCCUGAGCCUGAGGACAAAUAGUUUAUACUUAAUAUAUGCCUCUGUGUGUUCAUUUAGGAGUGGAGUGUGACAGGAUCAAGCUGAAAACUAACUUCUGCCUACACAUUGCUGUUCAUGGAGCAAUUACCCAGUUGCUUUGUUCUGUGUAAAAGGAUGGUUGAGAGGCCCUGUUUUCACAGAUCAUGGGAUCAGCAAGGUGUUCCCGAGGAACAGUGCUGGGCCCAAUACUCACUUUCUAAAUGUCAUAUGCCAGCUUUCGUUGAGGUUUUUGCCAUCUUUUGCUCAUUUUUAGUUUGUUAGUAACAAAGCAAUGGGAAAGAAUUUCUACAUGAGCAGCCUUAUGUUUUCAUAACUUUGGGGCCAAAUAACAACAAAUGUGACUGAAGAAACGAUACUCUAUUUUGGUCCAAUGCUUAGGGAGGCUCUAAUUUCUUUAAUAUAAGUACCUCAACUGUUGUGUGCUACACUUUGCUGGAUAAGUAUAUACAUAACGAAAAUGUAACCGUGCAAGAUAAAUCAGUAUUGGAGUAUGAUCUCUGGAAAAGAUAUAGUCCUAUUUUGAUAAAUUUUAUGACCUUGUAUUUGAAAGUUUCUAAGAACAGUGUUUACAUUGUUCAAUAUCUUGUGCCACCUUACACAGAGGACUUGAAAAUAUAUGAUCUACUAUAUAUAUAUAUAUAUAUAUAUAUAUAUAUAUAUAUAUAUGUAUGUAUGUAUACACACCCUUACCCUCAUGAUUGUUGCCUUAAGAGUUGUGAAUUCUGUAUUAGAUUCAAUAAAAUCUUCAGAAAUUUAUUUUAAAAAUGUGAUAAAUUAUGUGAGCACAAAUUUUCAAAAUGAAGUAAGUGUUUAGAUUCCCCAGGACAUAUUUAGAUAAGGAAGUUUGUCUCUGUGUUUGGAUGUGGGUGGGUGUCUCUGUAUGUGUGUUUGGAUGAGUACAAUCCUAUGAAGAAUGCCACUGAAUUCAGUCCUAGUAAGAAUUGACCUCAACUGGGACAUUCUUUAAAUAAAUUAAGAAUCAAACCAAACCGGACCUAGAUAUGUGAUAACUAUGUUCUUAGUAAAGAUGUUUAGUUGGGCCCUUCAAGGAUCAUCUUGUGACUGCUUUCAACAUAUUUGUGUCAUACAUGAUUCGCUUAAUGAAGCCAAAUUUCAUACAUAUUGUGUGGAACAUAAAUGAAAAAAAAAAUGGAUUAAUUAACUUCCUGCUAGAUGUGUUCAUAUAGUAAAUGAUGAGAAGUCAGCAUCCAUGUUUAUUCCCAUGUAAAUCUAUUUGGAUAUUCCCUGACACAGUUCUAGAUAUGCUCAUUUACACAAUGUAUAUGUCCAUCCACACAAAAGGCCUAUCUGACAAUUGACUGCCUUUUCAGCAUGACAGACCUGAAUGAGUCCAAGUCAAUUAGGCAAUGUUGUUUCCAGAUAUAUAUUAAAAGUUUUUGUUUUGGAGGUAUACUGUGUUGCAUUUUUGUUUCUGUCCUGUAUUUUCCUUUGUAUAAUUUAAGCCACAGUGUCACUUUGUGACGCAAGCAGGAAUAGAACUCAGUUGGUUUAAUGUAUUCUGUUCAAAAU